AGUCACUGACAUUAGAUACCCCCGUAGUCCAGGGUGUAAACGCUGCAGACUUGGUGUUGGGGGCCCUUUGGGGGCAUUCAGUGCCGGAGAGAAGUUGUUAAGUCUGCUACUUGGGGAGUACGUCCGCAAGGAUGAAACUUAAAGGAAUUGGCGGGGGAGCACCGCAACGGGAGGAGCGUGCGGUUUAAUUGGAUUCAACACCGUAAACUCACCAGGGAAGACUGUUACAUGAAGGCCGAGAUGAAGACUCUGCUAGAUUUUCAG
rnacentral:rRNA from 1 species